GUUAAGUUAAUAAGGGCGCACGGUGGAUGCCUUGGCACUAGGAGCCGAAGAAGGACGUGACAAACGACGAUAUGCCUUGGGUAGCUGUAAGUAAGCGAUGAUCCAGGGAUUUCCGAAUGGGGGAACCCAACAGGUACUACCUGUUACCCGCAUCUGUUAAGGAUGUGAGGAGGAAGACGCAGUGAACUGAAACAUCUAAGUAGCUGCAGGAAGAGAAAGCAAAAGCGAUUGCCUUAGUAGCGGCGAGCGAAACGGCAGGAGGGCAAACCGAAGAGUUUACUCUUCGGGGUUGUAGGACUGCAAUGUGGACUCAAAGAUUAUAGAAGAAUGAUUUGGGAAGAUCAGCCAAAGAGAGUAAUAGCCUCGUAUUUAAAAUAGUCUUUGUACCUAGCAGUAUCCUGAGUACGGCGGGACACGAGAAAUCCCGUCGGAAUCUGGGAGGACCAUCUCCCAACCCUAAAUACUCCCUAGUGACCGAUAGUGAACCAGUACCGUGAGGGAAAGGUGAAAAGAACCCUGAAUAAGGGAGUGAAAUAGAACCUGAAACCGUGUGCCUACAACAAGUUCGAGCCCGUUAAUGGGUGAGAGCGUGCCUUUUGUAGAAUGAACCGGCGAGUUACGUUAUGAUGCGAGGUUAAGUUGAAGAGACGGAGCCGUAGGGAAACCGAGUCUGAAUAGGGCGAUUAGUUGCAUGUCGUAGACCCGAAACGGGAUGAGCUUACCAUGGGCAGGUUGAAGCGAGGGUAAAACCUCGUGGAGGACCGAACCCGUUAAGGUUGAAAACUUUUGGGAUGACCUGUGGUAAGGGGUGAAAGGCCAAUCAAAUUCCGUGAUAGCUGGUUCUCUCCGAAAUGCAUUUAGGUGCAGCGUCUAAUGAAUACCGUCGGGGGUAUAGCACUGAAUUGGCUAGGGGGCUUACCGGCUUACCAAACCAUAUCAAACUCAGAAUACCGACGAGUACUGUUAGGCAGUGAGACUGCGGAUGCUAAGGUCCGUAGUCGAAAGGGAAAGAGCCCAGACCAUCAGCUAAGGUCCCUAAAUCGUGUCUAAGUGGCGAAGGUUGUGGAACUACUUUGACAUCCAGGAGGUUGGCUUAGAAGCAGCCAUCCUUGAAAGAGUGCGUAAUAGCUCACUGGUCAAGUGAUUCCGCGCCGACAAUGUAACGGGGCUCAAGCACACCACCGAAGUUGUAGAUUUCGCACUAUAGACAAGCCUUCGUGGUUCAGUCGUGCGGAGUGGUAGGAGAGCGUCGUGUGGCGAGUGAAGCGGCGGAGUGAUCCAGCCGUGGACGCUACACGAGUGAGAAUGCAGGCAUGAGUAGCGAAAGACGGGUGAGAAACCCGUCCUCCGAAAGACCAAGGGUUCCAGGGCCAGGUUAAUCCGCCCUGGGUAAGUCGGGACCUAAGGCGAGGCCGACAGGCGUAGUCGAUGGACAACGGGUUGAUAUUCCCGUACCGGCGAAGAACCGCCCAAGUCAAUCCAGUAAUGCUAAGCACCUGAAUACCACGGGUUCUCCUUCGGGAGUCUCCGUGGGGCUAGCGUGCGACCCUAUGCUGGUGCGGCUAACGUAUUAACAGGUGUGACGCAGGAAGGUAGCCUCCGCGGGGCGAUGGUUGUCCCCGUCUAAGGAUGUAGGGCGAACGAUAGGCAAAUCCGUCGUUCACAUGCCUGAGAUCUGAUGGUGAGUCCGUAUGGACGAAGAGGGUGAUCCUAUGCUGCCGAGAAAAGCAUCGACGCGAGGUUGCAGCCGCCCGUACCCGAAACCGACUCAGGUGGUCAGGUAGAGAAUACCAAGGAGAUCGAGAGAAUCGUGGUUAAGGAACUCGGCAAAAUGCCCCCGUAACUUCGGGAGAAGGGGGGCCGGA
rnacentral:rRNA from 1 species